rnacentral:ncRNA from 1 species
GAAUGGCUCAUUAAAUCAGCUAUGAUUCCUUAGAUCAUAUAUGCUACUUGGAUAACUGUAGUAACUCUAGAGCUAAUGCAUGCAAUUAUGCCCUGACGCGCAAGCGAACGGGUGCAUUUAUCAGAACAGAACCAACCGGGGGCAGUUUCGGCUGUCUUUGUUGAAUUCUGUGAUGACUCUGGAUAA